rnacentral:rRNA from 1 species
AUCUGAAAUCACGUGGGAUUACCCCCUGAACUCUAGCAU